rnacentral:rRNA from 1 species
AACGAACGCUGGCGGCAUGCCUAACACAUGCAAGUCGAACGAGAGCUCCGUGUCUAGUGGCGCACAGGUGCGUCGCGUGGCGGACGCUGCCCGUAUGUACCGGAUACCACUUCGUCGGGGGUGAUAACGCAGGGUAACGUCCUCUGACACAAGGUUCAUCGCGCUUGGAUGGGCAGGGGAUGGAUUAGCCUGUUGGUAGGGUAAGAGCCUAUCACGGCUAAGCUCCUUAGCUGGUCAGAGAGGAUGAGCAGCCACACUGGGACUGAGACACGGCCCAGACUCCUACGGGAUGCAGGAGAGGGGAAUACUGGACAAUGGGGGAAAGGCUGAACCAGCAAUGCUGCGUGAGUGAUGAAGGUCUUAGGGUUGUAAAGCUCUUUUACCCGGGAUGAUAAUGACGGUACCGGAAGAAUAAGCACCGGCUAACUCCGUG